CUCUCGGUCUCUUCCUCUCGAAGCUUCCCCUCCCGCAGCCUCUAUCGCUCCGCCUCGAUCUAGCCCAGCGCCGCCCCUUCCUCCGGCGCUGCCCCUGCUUCCGGCGCCGCCUCCUCCCCGCCCUCCCCCUCCUCCCCCACACGCGCCAUGCGGCGCGCACCAGCCUGCGCCGACGGACAACGACGGCGCGCCCCAACCCCGUUGCCUCCGCUCGGCGUCGUGUGAUGUCCGCCCUACGUCAAUCGGCAUGCUGGCGCAAACGCCAGCACCAACUCCGCCUCCAUCUCGCUGCGUGAUAAUUUGUCCAAGGAUCCAAUCCUGCUUCCACCGCUUCGGUAGAUUUUCCCAUGUUUGAUAAUCUGCUUUGUUCUGUGUCCAUGGACCCACAGGCCGCAGCAAUGUUGGUAGUAUGCUCUCCCUCGCCCAGCACCUCCAGUCGCGCAACCCCGCUGCAGCAACCUUGAAAUUGCUUAAAUGAGUUGUCGUGGAGGUUGUGAAAAGGAUGAGUUAUCCCUAGUAGCAGAUAUACUGGCUCAGGAUAUUCAUUAGCUUCCCAUGAGUUAAGUGAACAUGUGUUGCUGCUAUCAAUGUGUUGACUUCAAUGCAGAGGUUUAAGGAACUAAAGGAAGGAAGACAGAUAAGCCGUGUUGAGCUCUAUAGCAACACAUACAGAACAAAUGGGCAGCCAAUUGAUGACUAAAGCUUUGAAAAAAUACAGCUUGAUUAUUUGUCAGUCAUAAAACAGAUGAUGCUGGUGCUCGUUUAAUCAACUUGAUUCAGAGAUAUAUCAGCUCUGGGUUAUCUGAAUCAUGGAAGCUUUCUCCCUCUACUUCUUUAUCUACAUCUUUUGUUGCACUACUUCCAUUUGCAUCAUUUAAGAUUGGGGACCUACACAAAAGGACUUGGGAAUAUCAUUUGAAGAUAGAUAUUUGAUUAUUUUUCUACCUUAUUGAUUGUGUUUGGUACAAAUAUAACUCUGUAUGCCAGAAAGAUUUAAAUG